rnacentral:rRNA from 1 species
AGAGUUUGAUCAUGGCUCAGAACGAACGCUGGCGGCAGGCCUAACACAUGCAAGUCGAGCGCACUCUUCGGAGUGAGCGGCGGACGGGUUAGUAACGCGUGGGAACGUACCCAGAUCUACGGAAUAGCCUCGGGAAACUGAGAGUAAUACCGUAUACGCCCUUCGGGGGAAAGAUUUAUCGGAUUUGGAUCGGCCCGCGUUAGAUUAGAUAGUUGGUGAGGUAACGGCUCACCAAGUCUACGAUCUAUAGCUGGUUUUAGAGGAUGAUCAGCAACACUGGGACUGAGACACGGCCCAGACUCCUACGGGAGGCAGCAGUGGGGAAUCUUGGACAAUGGGCGCAAGCCUGAUCCAGCCAUGCCGCGUGAGUGAUGAAGGCCUUAGGGUCGUAAAGCUCUUUCGCCAGAGAUGAUAAUGACAGUAUCUGGUAAAGAAACCCCGGCUAACUCCGUGCCAGCAGCCGCGGUAAUACGGAGGGGGUUAGCGUUGUUCGGAAUUACUGGGCGUAAAGCGCGCGUAGGCGGACCAGAAAGUUAGGGGUGAAAUCCCGGGGCUCAACCCCGGAACUGCCUCUAAAACUCCUGAUCUAGAGUUCGAGAGAGGUGAGUGGAAUUCCGAGUGUAGAGGUGAAAUUCGUAGAUAUUCGGAGGAACACCAGUGGC